AUACGGAGGGUGCAAGCGUUGUUCGGAAUCACUGGGCGUAAAGGGCGCGCAGGCGGUUUGGUAAUUCAGAUGUGAAAGCCCACGGCUCAACCGUGGAAGUGCAUUUGAAACUGCCAGACUUGAGUACCAGAGGGGAAAGUGGAAUUCCCGGUGUAGAGGUGAAAUUCGUAGAUAUCGGGAGGAAUACCGGUGGCGAAGGCGACUUUCUGGCUGGAUACUGACGCUGAGGCGCGAAAGCGUGGGGAGCAAACAGAAUUAGAAACCCCAGUAGUCC
rnacentral:rRNA from 1 species